GGGCUUACUUCAGCAGCACAUACGCUAAAAUUGGAAUGGGACAAAGAAGGUUAGGUUGGCACCUGUACAAGGAUGACACACAACCUCGUGAAGUGUUCCAUGUUUUU